UAAAAUAUUUUGAUAUAUCUCUGCUAGAGAUGUUUAUAACACAAAACUAUUGUUACAACAGGCUGCCGUUAAUAUCAAGGCAUUGACUGGUUGAGACAGCUAGCCGAUUCAAGUUGUUGUUCUAUAUUUUGUGCCGUUUUCUGCUACUGUCUUUUCAGACAUUGGACAUUGAGAAUAUUUGUGCCCAAGAUGUAUGGUAACCCAUUUUGAGACGUACUUGAAUUCUCUUGGAGACGGAGAUUUCUACAGAAGACCUUUACCAGGCAGUAUGAUACGUUAUCGGAACCAGCCUGUUGGUGUCAAUACAGUUGGCAAAUUUAUGAAGGAAAUCGCUGAAAAAAUGUGGAUUAAAAGGGAACUACUUAAAUCACAGUGGCAAGCGAACUUGUGCGACUAGUCUAUAUGAAUCCGGAAUCGAUGAACAGGAAAUUAUGAGUCGGACAGGUCAUAGGUCCACGACAGCAGUUAGAAAGUACAAAGUUUAACAGACUUCUUAUAGUAUUCGUAAAAUGGUAUCUAGCGUUCUUGAUCCAAAUAAAACUGAAAAUGACGUCAGUGGGCCUAAAUGCCCAAAACUGGACAAAUAAGAGAACAUUACCCAAAAUAAAUGCAUUUGAAGACAUUACAUCGCGCUUGGGUGUGAUUAAUUUUAGUGGCUUUACAUUUAACUUCUAAUGUUCAGCGUAGAGAUAUCAGAAGCUCUAUGACUCGAACUUAACAAGUUACUGGAUUUAACAUUUUAAAACAGAUCCAUAUAAAUUAGAUUUACAUUAAUUAUUACAGAAAAAUUGAUGUUUUAUUCUUUUUGAAAUUAAAGAACAUUUUCAUUUCA
rnacentral:lncRNA from 1 species